CAAAACCAUCCAAAAGAACAACAAGGCAGCCCUCCAUCCCCGUGCGUGUGUCCUCCCACCUCGGCCGCCGCCACUGCUAAUGCCGCAGGAACGAUGCAACCUGGGCGGCUCAUCUAGCAGACUGGCUGGCAGGAACGCCGCACGCCUCCGGUAAAGCACAACUGUCUGUCAAAAGUUCCCCGACAGUGGAACACAAUGAAAUGGGUGGCUGGGCGGGUGCCUCCCACCAUUAAAGCACUAAAUGCGUGUGCGGCCGCGUGGAUGAGGAGGGUCCCUCCAGGGAGGUGAAGGUCAGCAGGUUCCCCAUGAAGGACCCCGCACGCUGAGGGCAAGAUGGA